GGCGACCGGGUGCGUAACACGUAGCUAACCUGCCCUCUCGCGGGGGACAACUGUUGGAAACGACAGCUAAUACCGCAUGACGUCGAGGAGAAUAAAUAUUCUUGACUAAACUUAAGGGGCGAGAGGAGGGGGCUGCGGCCCAUCAGGUAGUUGGAGAGGUAAGAGCUCACCAAGCCGACGACGGGUAGGGGGCCUGAGAGGGUGGUCCCCCACACUGGGACUGACAACGGCCCAGACUCCUACGGGAGGCAGCAGUAAGGGAUAUUGCGCAAUGGGCGAAAGCCUGACGCAGCAACGCCGCGUGGAGGAUGAAGGCCUUCGGGUCGUAAACUUCUUUUAGCAGGGACGAGGAAGGACGGUACCUGCGGAAUCAGUCACGGCUAACUACGUGCCAGCAGCCGCGG
rnacentral:rRNA from 1 species